rnacentral:rRNA from 1 species
CCUACGGGUGGCAGCAGUGGGGAAUAUUGGACAAUGGGCGAAAGCCUGAUCCAGCCAUUCCGCGUGUGUGAAGAAGGCCUUCGGGUUGUAAAGCACUUUCAGUGGGGAAGAAAGCCUUGGGGCUAAUACCCUCGAGGAAGGACAUCACCGACAGAAGAAGCACCGGCUAACUCCGUGCCAGCAGCCGCGGUAAUACGGAGGGUGCGAGCGUUAAUCGGAAUUACUGGGCGUAAAGCGCGCGUAGGCGGUCUGAUAAGCCGGUUGUGAAAGCCCCGGGCUCAACCUGGGAACGGCAUCCGGAACUGUCAGGCUAGAGUGCAGGAGAGGAAGGUAGAAUUCCCGGUGUAGCGGUGAAAUGCGUAGAGAUCGGGAGGAAUACCAGUGGCGAAGGCGGCCUUCUGGACUGACACUGACGCUGAGGUGCGAAAGCGUGGGUAGCAAACAGGAUUAGAUACCCCGGUAGUC